rnacentral:rRNA from 1 species
UACGGAGGAGGCAAGCGUUGUCCGGAAUCAUUGGGCGUAAAGAGCGCGUAGGCGGUCCGGUAAGUCCGCUGUGAAAGUCAAGGGCUCAACCCUUGAAUGCCGGUGGAUACUGUCGGGCUAGAGUCCGGAAGAGGCGAGUGGAAUUCCUGGUGUAGCGGUGAAAUGCGCAGAUAUCGGGAGGAACACCAAUGGCGAAGGCAGCUCGCUGGGACGGUACUGACGCUGAGACGCGAAAGCGUGGGGAGCAAACAGG